UACGGAGGGGGCUAGCGUUGUUCGGAAUUACUGGGCGUAAAGCGCGCGUAGGUGGUUUGUUAAGUCUGAUGUGAAAGCCCUGGGCUCAACCUGGGAAUUGCAUUGGAUACUGGCAGGCUCGAGUGCGGUAGAGGGUAGUGGAAUUCCCGGUGUAGCAGUGAAAUGCGUAGAGAUCGGGAGGAACAUCUGUGACGAAGGCGACUACCUGGACCAGCACUGACACUGAGGCACGAAAGCGUGGGGAGCAAACAGG
rnacentral:rRNA from 1 species